rnacentral:rRNA from 1 species
GCUUACGGCCAUACCACCCUGAACACGCCCGAUCUCGUCUGAUCUCGGAAGCUAAGCAGGGUCGGGCCUGGUCAGUACUUGGGAACCGCCUGGGAAUACCAGGUGCUGUAAGCU